UAACACGUGGAUAACCUACCUAUAAGACUGGGAUAACUAUUGGAAACGAUAGCUAAUACCGGAUAAUAUUUUGAACCGCAUGGUUCAAAAGUGAAAGACGGUCUUGCUGUCACUUAUAGAUGGAUCCGCGCUGCAUUAGCUAGUUGGUAAGGUAACGGCUUACCAAGGCAACGAUGCAUAGCCGACCUGAGAGGGUGAUCGGCCACACUGGGACUGAGACACGGCCCAG
rnacentral:rRNA from 1 species